AUGAAGUCUCAUUUUGGAUGGCCUUUUACUCAGGACUUAAAAAGGUCUACUUUAAUUUGUGUGUACUGUAUGCGUCCCAGGCCAACUUGCCCCUGCCGUCUCCUGCCUCCACCCCUUCCAGCCGACAGAGCUCAAAGACUAACUCUGCUCGCAGCUCUGUCUCUCUCAGGUCAGCUGGGUCUUCAGCCAGCAGCAGCCCAAGGGAGGCGUCAGUGCAGUCUCCCCCUGUUAAGACUCUGGAGCUGGGUCUGGGGUUGUCCGUUACGUCCCCUCCUCUCAACUCUCCACGGGACUCCCAUCCACCCAGCUCCACCACCAGCAGCAGCAGCGGUAGCAAGCGCCAGAGCCCAUAGAGAAACCCCACAAUAGGACAGCCUCACUUACAGCACCAGAAGGCUAAUGUGACUGUAGUGCCAUUAGGAAAGAGAAUGUGUGUCACUGUUCAAUGUGUACAACUGUUUGGUGAGUUGAUUUGAUUUGCAUGUUGUUGUUUUUUUACGAACUGGGACAACUUGGCAGUGAUUUGAGAAAUACACUUAAAUAAUAUAUGAUUUACCUUUUCUUUGAAGGCACAUGUUUUCCAUUUGUCAGCUAACCUUUAUAGAAUUGUAUUGUAAAUGUGCAUAAAAAAUAUGUACUUUUUCUAAAUUCAUUUUGACUCCUGGCAAUGUGUUUCUGGAUAUAUCCCAAUAAAAUAGAUGGUUGCUUGUCAGAAUGAUCAAUUAGUUGAUAAUACACUUGUUUUGUUUAAAUGCCCAAUGUAGUCAAAAACGUUUUUUUCUGUGUUUUAUAUAUAUUUCCACACUAUGAGGUUGGAAUAAGACUGUUAAAAUUAUGAUAAUGCCCUUUUAGAGUAAGAGCUGUUUGAAAAGACCACCUGAAAUUUAAGGCUGUUUUGGUGGGAUGGUGUUUUGGCCUGCCUGGUGACCAAAUUCUUGCUUGAGAAAUUGCUAUUUGUUAAGGAGCUAUUUUUGUUUCUUUUUUACAUUUUAAUUGAAAACAAUCACCGUAAUGUGCUUUAUUGUUACCCAGAAAUUAUGUGUAAUUGAGAUUUUAAAAACGGUUUCAUUGGACCUUUAAAAAAUACUGGUUGAGGUUUUGACAUAACAUUUUGUGAGAUAGAUAUAUGGAACAACUUCCUCAUAGCUAUUAAAAUAGUUCAAGAGGAGGUGGUUUGCCCAUUUUCUGAAAUCACUUGUGCCUCAAAUGAAUUUUUGAAAACCUGGGCAUUAUGUAAAAGGCAAAUCCCUCCCACGAUGAAUAGAAGAGUCAACUUCCUCAUGCUGAACAUAGAUUGUCAGACGGACUGGACUCUCUGAACAGAAUCUUUCCACAUCACAACUCAGUCGGUGCUCUGUCGUCUGAAACAACAUCAUGCUUUUCCUAUUACUUUGUGUUGGAUGUGUUGCUUUGUCUGCAGGGCAAUCCUUUGGUAAGUUAUCAAUUUAACAUGUUUUUAAUGUUCAUGAUUUGAAAAGAAAAUGAUGUCAGAGGUUUAGUCCAGAAAACAAUGACGGUUGAAGCAUAACCAAACCCAGAUAUCAGUGAAGAUAUGUAUCUUCCAGUCAUUAGUAGUGAGCAUGAGUAAGUCAACAACAACAAAAAAUGAUAUGUGGAAAAGAAUGGAACGUUUCAAUUGAAAAAAUCAGAUGAUUAAAUGUGGACCAAAUGCUGAUAUUUAAUAUAUAGUAGGAAGUAGAGAAGUGUGAUGACUACUGUGAAAACAACUUUAUUUUGUAUUUUUGUAUUGCUUGUUGUGAUCAUAAAAUAUAUAUACUAGAAUGGGUACUAGUCUGUUUGGGCUAUCAUUCCACUCCUUAUAAUGUAAUGUUUUGUAUAUGACACAGAGUACAGGGAGUGGAAUGUUUAGCCUAAAACAGGUUUGGAUUUCAGGCUAAUGACAGAUACAGCUUCAUGUCAAUAUUUACCCCAUCAGCUUCAACACCUACAAUGGGACCAUGGGCUACCACGACACAGGUGACAACACCUCCAACUCUUACUACCCCUUAUGUGGACCCACCUUUUGGUACUAAACCCCUGGAAAGUGGUGGGUAUUUAAGCAUAAAAUAAUUACAUUGAAUUAUGAUACUCGGCUAAUUGUCUAAUUUAAUGAAAUAAUUUGAAUAUUCUUGCCCAAAUAUAGGAUUUGCAAUUCUUCAGGUCGCUGUCCAAUCUUAUCAGGAGCUAAAUGAGACUACAGCUGAUCCAGUCUUGAGUCAGGUAAUAUUUAGACCACAGUUGAGCCAGUCUGGAGUCAGCUGACAUUUAGACCACAGUUGAUCCAGUCUUGAGUAAGGUAUAACAAAAUAUUCAAUGUUUAUAUCCCGGGUAGCAUAUUUUAUAUAAAGUUCCAAUGCAUAUGAUUGAUCUAUUUAUUAUACAAUGAUUUAUAUUGGAAAAUAAGAUCUAGAUUAGAUGAGCUUGAGUUGAACUAAAUAGUGAUCUAUUUUCUCUACUAGAUCUACGACAUCGUUCGGGCGAAGCGACCUGAUCUGAAAUUUCGACUGACCGUGAAAACUGUCCAGAAAGUUUGAUGGAUUAUGAUCCAAGGCAUAGCAGAUUGAAGUUCUAGUGGUACAUCAUGUUCUGCAGAUGUGAACUAUUGUACUGUAUUUUCAAUGAUUUUAUGCUGUUUAUCAGUCAUUAUAUUCAUGUUAAUAAUAUAUUUGAAUGUAUAAUUUCAUUGACUUAUUGACUUGCUGCGCAUUCCAAUCACCAUCUGGGGGAGGAGCUGUAAUUCAAGAGUUAUGUCACAACUUUUCCCACUUUCAUAGAAUCUUGUCAUCUGCGUCCAGUGUUUUCUGAUGGAUUUGAUGUUGGACUGAAUAGUCCUAACUACUGUAAUCUUUUCUUUGGCUAUAAACAUGUUACAAAUGCUGCAACUGUUCUCACACUCAUGUUAAUUCAACGGAUCUUUUUUUAAAUUUCAAACAUAAGGUGACUUCCCUGAAAAGAACAGUCCACCCCAACCCCCAAAAAAUGUAUAUAUUAUUUUUUUCAUUCAUAAAAAAAAUCAUGACAAUGUGUACAAACUAAGCUAAACCUUUAACUACUAGCCACAUUUAUGCAAGCAAGGGGUUUCCCUCCAAAGCUAAAUCAAUUGGUGUAUUAAUUUACAACAGAAACAUGAAAAUUGUUAAGCGUUUUUAAUUGAGUGUUCACAAAUAUCAACGUAAAAAAUGUACCAUGUACAUUUUAGAACGACGUUUGAAACCAAGUCACGUAGGCCUGUUAUUAUGAACAUACAGAACCAGAGGCUCCAGAGAGUGUAGCCUACAUUUAUUUUAUUUUACCUGAGUAGCCAGCAGCAUACCAUCCUGCAUCCCACUGACCAGGACCAACCCUGCUUAGCUUCAGAAGCAAGCCAGCAGUGGUAUGCAGGGUGGUAUGCUGCUGGCAAAUGGAUAUGUAUGCAACAACAGUUUAACAUUCUCCUUCUGCUACCAUUUCUAUCAAGCCGUCUACGCAGACAGUUUGACGCAUACGUUCGAUAAAUCCAAGGUAUAAACCAAGCCGAACGCACUGCAACUGCCUCUGAAACGCAAUGCUGCAAGGCAAACGCAGCGUUUCGUUGGAAAUGAAUGUAAUUCUGGUGUACCAAAAUGCAAAAACACUGUCGGUGUGAUCGAAGCAUUUAGUCGCAUGUCCGGGACACGCAUGUCCGGGACACGCAUGGUAUACAUCCUUCAACGAAAUGUUUACUUUUAGUAGGGAUAUACUCUUACCUACAAUCCGGUCUUUGAGGCUGCAAUAGUUGGCUAUCCAAGACUCUGAGAUGGCAUCACCCGGGUAAAGAACAGAAGUGUCACCUGAGAACAUGCAGGAGGCCACAGUGUGUGGAAGGGAAGAAUAAUUGAUGGAUUGCUUUGCGAUGGAGACAAAAUGACCUAAAUCCUCACAAUAUGUCACUUUGACCAAAUGUGCUCCUGGCUGAAUAAUUUUGCACGCCCAAUUUUUCAGUUUUUGAUUUGUUAAAAAAGUUUGAAAUAUCCAAUAAAUGUCAUUCCACUUCAUGAUUGUGUCCCACUUGUUGUUGAUUCUUCACAAAAAAAUACAGUUUUAUAUAUUUAUGUUUGAAGCCUGAAAUGUGGCAAAAGGUCGCAAAGUUCAAGGGGGCCGAAUACUUUCGCAAGGCACUGUAUGUGCUUGGUGUUCAGGGAAUGUGUUUGGUGUUCAGGUCAUGUGUAUGUGUUUGGUGUUCAGAGAAUGUGUAUCAGUGGCGGUCAGUGCCAUUGUAGAUGAGGGAGGACAUGGACAGAUAGUGACAUUCAAUACCGCCUUGUACACUAGUGCCUGCAUCAACUGAUAUAGGGUGUAAUCAUUAGUCCAACAGUUGCAAACAAGUGUCGGGCUGUGGCGGUCACGAAAUUUCGUCAGCCUGUGAUUGUCAAACAAAUAACUGUUGGUUUUACGGUAAUUAACAUAAACACAUUUAGCAUCUCCUGGCUUCCACACAAGCCAUUUUAAAAAGUCUAAUAAAUCCAUGUAAUAUAGCCUAAACCUUCACAAUAAAUCCAUUAUUUAUUUUAGACAUGUCUAAAGAAGCAUGAUUUGAAGAAAAUGUAGUAAAUUUCAGAAGAAAA
rnacentral:lncRNA from 13 species